rnacentral:tRNA from 1 species
AAGGGAGACCUAAUUCCGGUAGGAGACGAAAAAAAAGUAGUCCCAACCAAGAAUCAAUCCCAAAAGGUCGGAACGAGGUAUGAGGCUUUCAAACUAGGUUCUGGGUUCAUAAAAGACCUGAAUCAGGAACAAGGGCUAUUAGCUCAGGUGGUUAGAGCGCACCCCUGAUAAGGGUGAGGUCCCUGGUUCGAGUCCAGGAUGGCCCACCUGCACAGGUGGCAAAAACAAGAGAAGCUCCGAAUCAGCACCUUAUCUUAUAUACAUAUAUAAGAGGGAAUGCUGGCUCUGAGUAAAGAGUCCAGAGGAACCUUGAAAACUGCAUAGAGCUAGGUGAAAAAGCCAAAAAAGAAGACCGCAA